UGUUGUUGGGAAAAAGUAUUAAGUAUUUUCCUGGCUAUUUAAAUGCUAUUCAUCGUGUAAUUGGUGUAGGAACUUUUCCCUUUUGCAAAGUUUUUCAAUGGAACUGAAUUCGUGACUUAUCUUGAACGAGAAGCGAAUGUUAAUCAUGAACCCUCCCGUAAAGAGGAAAGGGGUUACUUCCUCACGUAACUUGGCUGGUAAUCUACCGAUGAAUGUGCAUCCCUAAUGGGUUCUACACUGAGAACUUGCGCGUGUAUAUAACCUCGAGUAGUUAGUGGUGGCUUUGCCAAAAACAUUUUGUCGUUACUUCGCAGAUCGUCUAGCUUCACAGUUCAGAAUCGGUGAAUUGCUCAAGUUUCUAGUAGAAAAUCGUAGCCCUGGGAUGAGUGUGAUUCGGCAAGUCGUCAUCUUUUGCUUCGUUUUAUCUUGGAUCAGCACAGUGCUGUCUCGACCUCAUCUUCGACCAUUUGAGUAUAAAAGUGUAACUGCUGAUGCCAACGCUGAUGGUGGUGCCAGCAGUAAACCUUUUACUACAUUUGAAACACGGUCGUUUAUUGCCAAUGAAAGUGUCUCAAUCGAAGAGACAGCCGUUUCCAUCCUCUUGAAGCUGAAGUUCUUUCCCUUCCGGAAAACGAGUAGUAACAGUUCCGUAUUGGAGGCUCGAUUGGAUGCUGGCGCAAAAGAUAAUGGUGUCUGGGGAGCAGGCAUCGAUUUCGGCCUUCCAGAUGGAUCUGGUUUCGGUUACGGUGAAGACGCCAAUUUUAAAACUUUUUCAUUUAGUUCGGUUUCCUACAUCUUUCAAUGAGACAUUUUUCAACGCUGUUAAUUUUAAAUAAAUUAUUCCAUGAUUAAUUUUCAGAAAUUUAUCUGAAAUCAUUUCUGCGAUGAACUAAGUUCAAGUCAAAUGUUUAAGAUGUUCUGGAUAAACUUUGCUUGCGUGUUUUCUAGUGGCCAGCUAUUGGCAUCAGAUAACCUUAUGUUUUGAGUUAUUAGACCCGAAUUCUGCGCGUUGAUCCUCAUUGGUUCAAAAGGACAAGUCUGACGUUCUGCAGCCCCAUUCAUCAGUAGUAUCCCAUUCCCGGGUUCUUGGUAUUACGCUUAAAGUUUAACGUUUAUUGAAAUCUAGCAGUCAUUUCAAGUAUAGAAAUGCCCUUUAAUCACAAUUAUUAAUAUUGCAUGCCUUUUGAAAUCAACAGCAGCCGUUCCUACCAAUCUCCAACUCCGAUGGGCGAUUCAUACCCACCCACUAAGUGAAUUGGUAGCUUCAUUUGAUAACUUCUUGGUUUUCCCAUUUCUGUUGGCUUUGGAAAUGUUUUGCUGAUAAAAGCGGCAGCUCUUGUGUAUCAAUUUCCACAUAAAGGCGCCAAAGAAAACUGAAUUAAUUUGACGACGGUUGCUAGUGGUACGGUAGUAGUCGCUGAGUCGCAGAUAGCCUUAAUCUCAAGUGCUUCUCUUUGAACUCGAAGUGCGACGUUGGUUUUGAAACGUUGAAAAGGCUUAAAUCUUGUACAUUGACCCGGCAUCGCCCCUUUUUCCAAAUUUUCCUUUGCUGGUGCAAUGCAUAAAACCCACUAGUUUUACUGAAGAAAAGCAAUUACAAUCUAUCACUCCAUCAAAGCCAGCAGCGUAGAGGAAAUCUCGUGAUAUUUCUAUACAGAGCAAGAUCAACAACCAACAAAACAACAAUAUGAAGGCCUUUUCCGUAUGGUUUUUUCUCUCCGUGGCAAUCUACACCAUUUUAGCUGUUCCUUUGCCUCAGCAACAAGGAAACGAUCCCUUUAGCAGUAUGUCCAGAACCUUUAACGAGAUGGCUGCUAAUACAUUCAAUUCAGCUGCCUCUCAACAAGCAGCUAAUCAGCAGGCCCAUCGGCAGGCCCAUCAUCAGCAAUCUUCCUGGCUAAGUCCAGGAGCUGGAGGUGCUGGUAGUACAGCAGCAGGUUCAUCCGGACGUGGGCAUCAGGGUUCGUCUGUUCGCAGGACGGGAACAGGGUGGCAACAUGCCUCAGCCUCUUCUUCAGGAACAGGGUCUGUUUCGGCAUCAGCCUCGGCCCAUUCUCAUUCUUCGCCCAAUAAUAAUAACCAACAACGACAGAGACGGCCAACUAACCGGCCCGCGAACCGAACAACAAAGCAACCCAAAAAUCGAAACAACAGAAAUGAAAAUGGAAACUAAACUUUAAUCGAUGCAUUUAAAUUUUAAUCCGAAACAGGUACACUGCAUGGGGGCAGCCACUGCAAUAAAUGUAACUUUGGUUUUUAAAUAUUUUGUGUGCUAAUUUAAGACAUGCGAGUUAAGUGUCGAUUUUGUUUAUUGAUCGAUCAGAGACAACACAAGUGAUUUUUCUUCAGUAAACCAGCACUGUUUCAUUAACAUUUAUAAUAUAUUCAAGUUUUCAACCGACAUUUCUUAAGUAUAGUCUCGUAUUCUGAGCUUCAGAUGCGAUAAGCGAUGACUAAUAUUUAUUUUCCAGUGCUGCUUCCAGUACCAGUUCCAGCUGCUGCAGCCUCUCCAGUGACAGCAUUCAAUACUGCGGAACCUGUUCCAGUACCAGUCGCUGAUCCUCCGUCUUGUGCGCUUGAUAUUCCAACCUAAAACAAAUUAGUGAGUCAAAUUUGUGUUUGAUUUUCUUAUUUUUGUUGUUUUCUUACUCCUGAAGCAGAAACUCCUCCUGGUCCAGCGUUACCCGUUCCAGCUCCAGCUCCAGAACCGGUGCCAACUUCAAAGUUCAAAGUAACAAUUGUUAUUUAAAGGUUUCAAUGAAUUUUAAGUAAAUGACGAAGUCUUACGAUUGAAUCCAGGGAAAGCCAGUUGUCCUCCGACCGGUUGUCCAGCAAAAGGCAGUGCAGCUCCACCCAGAAGAGGAGUUGCUCCAUUUCCGGCAAAUAGUGGGGCGGCACCACUUCCAAAUCCUGUCCCAGUUCCAGUGGCUACAUUACGCAAAAGGGCCGGUGUUCUUUACCUUGAAACGCCUGAGGGCGAGCAGUGGCCACAGCGAGGACUGCGCACAAUGUAAAGAUGGUGUUUGCUGCUGAAAGCUCAAAGUCUGGAGAGUCAACCGAGAAAUGUUCGCCUUUGUUUGCUAUCGUCGCGAACGGGAUUACAGGAUCGAAAUAGGAAAAUGGGCCUUGCCGUAUUUAGAAUACAGGCAUCGGGAAAAUGAGAAAAUCUAGUCAAAUGGUCUUUCAAGGCGAAGCUUGUUGUUUUCACUUUGAAAAAGAGCGCUUUUUCCGCCGAUGUUGGCCAUCCAAGGUUGCUGUUAUGACCGCUGUUGAUGUUACUGAUCCUCUUCGACAAGAAAACAAGAAGAAUUAUGUAAAUUGCGCUUCGGUUGAAAAAGUAGCACAAACAACCUUGGGAUGCCCUUCCGUUUCUGCCUUGCCCAGCACCGGUCUAGGGCGGUUAAGCCACCUCCCAUAAUUUCUCCGGGACUUGGGGGCUCUUACAAAUACGGUCCGGGACAACCGAAAGACACACCAGUUAACCACUUGCAAUCCAACGUAUCAACAGUCCACUUUGCGUCAGCUCGUUUCACAUUUAAAACAAUCAUGAAGGUUUUUGCGUUCGUCUUCCUUGUCCUCGCCGUCGCUAUGGUCUCCGCUAAACCAGCUCCUCAAGACAUUCACUCGUCUAUUUUGGCUGUCAUCAAUUCCGCUGUGCCGAAUGUUCAGCCUGGUAGCUUUAACAGGCCACCUGCAGGCGGAGUUUCUUCUUUUGCUUCCGCCCAACAAAACACGGGUCCUUCCGGCCAAACUUUCUUCGCCGCUCAGACUGGAGUGGCUCAAGGAAGCUCAAGACCAUAAAUAGAUAAAAAAAUCAUCCAGGAUCCAAGAGCUGCACACUUAAUCAUGAGCACAUUUACAUGGGUUUGCUUCAGAUUACAAUGAAUAGCUCAAACGAUUGCAAAAAUGCAAUUUGUAAAAAAAAAAGAACAAAAAAAAAAUGAAAACAUAAAAUUACAGGGCCUUUUAAUGCGAACCUUUUGUUUACCUGUUUGUGUCCAUUAAUAAUUACAAUAAACUGUUCGCUCGAUACAAUCUA
rnacentral:misc_RNA from 1 species